rnacentral:lncRNA from 1 species
GAUGAGAAGAAGCAGAGCAGGGCAUAGCGGCCAGAUAAGUUUCUCCAGAGUCAAGAGCAUCAUAAGCCGGGAAUCAAGCAAGUGCAAAAUUGUGGAAGUAUGGUCGAAGUCUACACUGCGGCUUGUUUGACAGGAUGGGACGAAGAACAGGAUAGGUUGGUCUACCUCGCAAAUUAAGCCAAUGCAUUCGUCGCAAGCAGCCUCGUGGACAUGUGGAAGCAUCAGAAGUGUUCAGGAGGACAAAGAAACACGACGUUGGUUGCCUGGAACACGAUCAUCAUGGGACAUGCACGUCUUCUAUCAGAUGCAACGAGAAGCUGGCCUGCCUCCAAACGCUGAGACUUUGCAUGGAGCAGCAAAACGUCGUUUCCUGGGAACAACCUUUGCUCUUGACUGCUACGAGCAAGCCGCAGCCAAACGCUCAGACUUUCAUGGUGGCGCUCAAGGCACUUAGCAGAGAAGAGGCUCCACUCGCAGAUCUGGGAGAGAAAUCUGGAGGGAAUCCACUACUCAGCGUGGUCGCUCAAUUAGAGAAAAGCUUUUCUUGGGAGGUCGGUAAACUUUGCAAGGAAAGAGUGUCAUGCAAGGUUGAUGGAGCCGUCAAUCAAAGAUGGUACCUGAAAAGACGCGAAAGGAUCUUAGCUGGCA